UACGGGGGGGGCAAGCGUUGUUCGGAAUUACUGGGCGUAAAGGGCGUGAAGGCGGCCAACUAAGUCGGAUGUGAAAUCCCCAGGCUCAACCUGGGAACUGCAUCCGAUACUGGAUGGCUUGAAUUCGGGAGAGGGAUGCAGAAUUCCAGGUGUAGCGGUGAAAUGCGUAGAUAUCUGGAGGAAUACCGGUGGCGAAGGCGGCAUCCUGGACCGACAUUGACGCUGUAGCGCGAAAGCUAGGGGAGCAAAC
rnacentral:rRNA from 1 species